ensembl:lncRNA
AAAAGACUGGCAAGCCAACUCUCAGAAGCAGAGAAAGCUCUACAUUAAUAAGCAACAAAAAAGAAAAGGAGAGAAAGGCACCAUCUGGCUUUGCCCUUCCCACAAAAAUGUCAGGCUCUUGCCUUGCUCUGGAAGUGUACAGAAGCUGCACAUCAGCACUGGGAGACUCAGGAGUGGGGUCCUGGGGAAUGCUUUUUUGAGUGAGCAACUUUCCAAGUGCAACAUCAGGGGUGCAUUUGACUGCCUGAGGAGCUGAUCCUGGAAGAAAAACCUCUGAGACCUGUGCAGCAGUCCAGAGCUCUGCUUGCAGCCAGCCCAGAGUUAAAUAGGAGACAUGUUCAGGAUCUGAUUGCCAAAAGAGCAAUAAUCCCCAAUCCAUCAGAUCAAGGCUGGAAGAUAAAUGAAGGGGAAUAACACCUGCAAGACAGUGUACUAUUCUGCAUAAAGACAAGGUGCAAAGUACAGUCAAGAAAGAAUUAAGGGAUCUUCUUCUCAUGAAGAAUUUUCCUCAGGCACUUCUCCCAUUCUCCGUGGCCCUUGAAAGAGAGCAGCUUGGCAAUUGCUUCUGCCAGCUUCCACAGCACUUGUGCGUGCCUUCCAUCAGAGCCCAUAGAUUUGUGUGAAGAUGCCAGCUGUGAAGGAGAGAGUCUGUCUGUGGUUUUUUCAACACUGAAGAAUAGUUGGUUCUUCAAGAGAAAUUUGCUUUGGAUCAGUAAAAUUUAUGGUCAACUGGUAAUUCUACCUUGUCUCUUUCCUUUCUUUUUUCCAAAGUAAAUGAUGUUUCUCCAAUUCUACAGUGAAGUCAUAAGCAUGUGUGUGUAUCCAGGGAUGGUGAAGCAAUAAAUUCAUUGUCUUGAGAGUGUGGAAUACAGGAUACC